rnacentral:rRNA from 1 species
CGGCGGACGGGUGAGUAACACGUGGAUAACCUACCUAUAAGACUGGGAUAACUUCGGGAAACCGGAGCUAAUACCGGAUAAUAUAUUGAACCGCAUGGUUCAAUGGUGAAAGACGGUUUUGCUGUCACUUAUAGAUGGAUCCGCGCCGCAUUAGCUAGUUGGUAAGGUAACGGCUUACCAAGGCAACUAUGCGUAGCCGACCUGAGAGGGUGAUCGGCCACACUGGAACUGAGACACGGUCCAGACUCCUACGGGAGGCAGCAGAC